GUCUAUGGCCAUGCCUCCAUGAACAGAUCAGAUCCUGUUUGAUUUCAGAAGCUAAGCAGAGUCAGGCCUGGUUAGCACUUGGAUGAGAGACCACCUAGGAAGACCAAGUGCUAUAGGCA
ensembl:rRNA 5S_rRNA 5S ribosomal RNA